AUUGAACGCUGGCGGCAGGCUUAACACAUGCAAGUCGAGCGAGAGGCGGACGGGUGAGUAAUGUCUGGGAAACUGCCUGAUGGAGGGGGAUAACUACUGGAAACGGUAGAUAAUACCGCAUACCAUCAGCUGGGCCCAGAUGGGCUUAGCUAGUGGGUGGGGUAAUGGCUCACCUAGGCGACGAUCCCUAGCUGGUCUGAGAGGAUGACUAGCCACACUGGAACGGAGACACGGUCCCGACUCCUACGGUAGGCAGCGGUGGGAAAUAUUGCACAAUGGGCGCAAGCCUGAUGCAGCCAUGCGGCGUGUGUGAAGAAGGCCUUCGGGUUGUAAAGCAAUUUCAGCGAGGAGGCGUUACUCGCAGAAGAAGCACCGGCUAACUCCGUGCCAGCAGCCGCGGUAAUAC
rnacentral:rRNA from 1 species